UACGUAGGGUGCGAGCGUUAAUCGGAAUUACUGGGCGUAAAGCGUGCGUAGGCGGUUCGUUAUGUCUGCCGUGAAAGCCCCGGGCUUAACCUGGGAAUGGCAGUGGAAACUGGCGGGCUUGAGUGUGGCAGAGGGGGGUGGAAUUCCGCGUGUAGCAGUGAAAUGCGUAGAGAUGCGGAGGAACACCGAUGGCGAAGGCAGCCCCCUGGGCUGACACUGACGCUGAGGCACGAAAGCGUGGGGAGCAAACAGG
rnacentral:rRNA from 1 species